AUAAGGGCCAUCAUUUUUCAAACACAUUGUACACCUUAAGUUUACGUCGAAGUAUGAUUUAGAACAAUAAUUAUGUGGAAUAUUUCCGAAUUUAAUGUGAAACUCAAAGAAAUACUGUUUUUUUGAAAAAAUCAAUUUAUGUGUAAUACUUGGCGAAGGAUGUAAAAUAAGGGCCAUCAUUUUUCAAACACAUUGUACACCUUAAGUUUACGUCGAAGUAUGAUUUAGAACAAUAAUUAUGUGGAAUAUUUCCGAAUUUAAUGUGAAACUCAAAGAAAUACUGUUUUUUUGAAAAAAUCAAUUUAUGUGUAAUACUUGGCGAAGGAUGUAAAAUAAGGGCCAUCAUUUUUCAAACACAUUGUACACCUUAAGUUUACGUCGAAGUAUGAUUUAGAACAAUAAUUAUGUGGAAUAUUUCCGAAUUUAAUGUGAAACUCAAAGAAAUACUGUUUUUUUGAAAAAAUCAAUUUAUGUGUAAUACUUGGCGAAGGAUGUAAAAUAAGGGCCAUCAUUUUUCAAACACAUUGUACACCUUAAGUUUACGUCGAAGUAUGAUUUAGAACAAUAAUUAUGUGGAAUAUUUCCGAAUUUAAUGUGAAACUCAAAGAAAUACUGUUUUUUUGAAAAAAUCAAUUUAUGUGUAAUACUUGGCGAAGGAUGUAAAAUAAAGGCCAUCAUUUUUCAAACACAUUGUACACCUUAAGUUUACGUCGAAGUAUGAUUUAGAACAAUAAUUAUGUGGAAUAUUUCCGAAUUUAAUGUGAAACUCAAAGAAAUACUGUUUUUUUGAAAAAAUCAAUUUAUGUGUAAUACUUGGCGAAGGAUGUAAAAUAAGGGCCAUCAUUUUUCAAACACAUUGUACACCUUAACUUUACGUCGAAGUAUGAUUUAGAACAAUAAUUAUGUGGAAUAUUUCCGAAUUUAAUGUGAAACUCAAAGAAAUACUGUUUUUUUGAAAAAAUCAAUUUAUGUGUAAUACUUGGCGAAGGAUGUAAAAUAAAGGCCAUCAUUUUUCAAACACAUUGUACACCUUAACUUUACGUCGAAGUAUGAUUUAGAACAAUAAUUAUGUGGAAUAUUUCCGAAUUUAAUGUGAAACUCAAAGAAAUACUGUUUUUUUGAAAAAAUCAAUUUAUGUGUAAUACUUGGCGAAGGAUGUAAAAUAAGGGCCAUCAUUUUUCAAACACAUUGUACACCUUAAGUUUACGUCGAAGUAUGAUUUAGAACAAUAAUUAUGUGGAAUAUUUCCGAAUUUAAUGUGAAACUCAAAGAAAUACUGUUUUUUUGAAAAAAUCAAUUUAUGUGUAAUACUUG